UUAGACGCGUUUUCAUCAAAUCAUAAUUACAAGGAAUGAAUAUGGUUUGGAAAGUGUAUCGUGGUGUUAGGACCUAUAGCAGUAUGGGUUAGGAAGUCUUUGUACUAUUUAUUAAGCAAAUAACACAAACUUUAAAAAGACUGAAUUUAGACUUAUAGUUUUGCAUUGAUAUCAACUAAUACAGAUGAUGCAGCCUCAGAAGUUCACAAACUAUGUAGCCACCCCAUUCCCAAGUGUUUACCAGGCAUUGGACAUGUCUUUGGUGUUAGGAUGAUAGCUUUAGGAAUAACAUAUGUAAGUAAAAGUGUCAAUAUGAAAAAUCACACAGUUCAAUUAUGCAAACAAAUUAAUCGAAUAAAUAUAAUUUGAUAAUUUUACGAUGGUGUUAAUGAUGUAUGUUGAUGAUAAUGAUGAUACUAACUUGAACGCACAUGCUCCAUUAUAGUCGUGACAACUACGACUCGAUUCUCCAUUGUGAAUUUUGUUAAAUCUACCAAACUUUAUCCAUCAAAUAACAAGGAAGUUGUGAACUUAAACAUUGAAAGGUAUUGGAUUUAAAAAAAAGAGAAAAAGAUGUUCUUCAACAACGCCAACGUUGGGAUGUGCACCGUAGGAAGCAUGGUGUUCGAUGACGAGGAGUUCCCCGAAAAGGAGCUCCGUUUCUGCACGUUUUUGUAUGGUCGUGCUAUUUGGAGGACGGUGCCGGGGGCGUGCACAAUAACAUCUCAAAAGUUUGCACGAUUUGUCCAAAACCCCAACGCUUAUCAACAAUAUGUUUCCGCUCUACCGGGAGUUGGGAAAGUGAUAAGCCAGAGUAUGGCUGAAAAUGGAAUACACUAGGUGUCGCAAGUCCUAGACGUGUAUAAAAAAAUGUCCUACACCUCGUUCAUACAGUGGAUGAAGUGUGUUUCAGGAGCACAACACAAAAACUGUCUCAAUCAGUUUUUCGAACAUUGCUUUGAAGCCCUGAAGUGCUGGUGUGAAAGAUUUGAAGGCACUUUAAUGUUUACCAAGCAAAUGGUUCUACCACAGAUGGCUCGAUGUCCCCUUGGACCUAUCAACCAAUCCCUGUGGUUUGGAGGCCUUGGGUUUUAGUGCAGUAUUGUGAACCCAACAUUUUGACAGUGUCACCUAAUUGAAAAAAUAUAUUUACUGACUUCCGGUAAUCAAACAUGGCGGCCGCCUAAAACUAACGUGGUAAAAAGUAAACUUUUAACUUCACGUUAAAAAGCAUAAUAAGCAUAUAAGAGCCUCAACAACCUUGCAAUGGACCAAGCAAUAUAUACAGGGAAGAAUUUACCCUUAAGCGACGGUUACCUUCACCCUACACCGAAAAAACGGACCAGAGAAGAGACGACCUCCACGUCGACGGGUGGGAUAAGGACGCCACCACCUCAACCUAAAGGCCUAAACUCCAGCCCGAGCCACCCAAUAUAUCCAGAUAUUUAUCCGUCCCUGACCAAAUUUAACACUCCUGUGGACUUUGAGAUUUUAAAGUAACUCCCAAAUGAUGAAAAACUGAAUGUCAUACUUGAAAACAUUGUGUCGUUGAAUUUGGGACACUGCAGAAUAAACGAUGUAGAGCACGCAUGUACAUAUAAUCUCGCUUCACUUAAUAUUGUUGAUGAACGACUAAGGCUAUAAGAAUAUAAAUAAAUCGAACUUCAGGCCCGUCAACGUGAAUCGAAUAUGUGAAUAGGUGGCCUGCCAGAAAAGCUAGGUAAUUACUGCAUGGACCUUGCUUAAAGCGUCAUUGCUCAAAAUCUCAAACUGAAAGAAGAGGACAUUAAUGUCGUAUCUGCAUACCGGGUUGGCAAACGGCAACAUCAGUAAGGUCCCCGACAAUUACAGCCUAGGCUCAUAUUUGUGUCUUUUUCGCACCCAGGCCAGAUCAACCAGGUUAUGAAAAAUGCCUUUAAGUUGAAGGGUUCAAAAGUGAGCUUGAAUAGGGACUACCCUAGGGAAAUUCAGGAGGCGAAAAAAGCCCUUUGGCACGAAUUUAAGGCAAACUGAGAUAGAUUUGGAGCCAAAAACGUAAAAAUCAAAGUCCCAGCUGCUCUAGUGGUAAACGGCCAAACAAUACGGGACCAGUUCCCGAACUGGAACACAAUACUAGCCGAAAUCUGCAUCAUAAACCUACAAAGACGUGUGAUGUCUGCAUACGAAACAAGGCGCUCCGACCAAUACGAGACGCCAGCUCCCGCCAGUUCCCUUCAAGACGGUUCAAAUCUCACCCCAAAGCGUACCACCAAGACCCAAUGAAGCAGUUCCAGCUACAGUACCAACUUCCAGCCAAGCGGCGGCACCGGACGCCUCUGACUCAAUUCAACAACAACACGACGGGGCCGUAACACCCCUCACCAGUGAGCCAGUAAUUUCGGCGCCCCCGCGAAUUAACAGCGCAGAAACGCCCCCUCACGGCCAAACGGCCCCAGAACCGCCGGCCAAGCCCUCCGGAAAUGGUCCCGCUUAGGACAGACAGGGUCCAAUUACCAAUGAUAGAAACUAUGAAACAUUGUCAAUAGGAUCGUUAAAUGUGUGUGGAAUUAAAUGAAGAUUGAAUUACACGGAAUUUACAAAUUUUGCUGUACCGAAACAAUGUUAUUAGAUUUAGACAUCAUUAGCAUUAAGAAUUAUGAAUUUUUAACCUAGAAAACAUAAUAUUUUGAAAAAAUCAGGAGGUAUUGGUUUGUUUAUAAAGGAAAAACUUGUCAAGCAUUUGGGUAAAGGCUAAAAAGGUAUCUCUGUCCAUAGAUAAAGAUGUAAUAUUGGGUAUUAUUUACAUACCUCAUGAAUCUUCCAGAUUCUUUAGCCAUGAUGAAAUGCUUAUUUUUGAAAAUGAAAUUAUUGAUAUGUGUAAUAACCAUGACAAUGUUAUGCUAUGUGGUGACACUAAUAAUCACACUUCAAAUGCAAAGGAUUUUGUUGAAAGCGAUGAUUUUAUCGCAGAUUUAUUCAAUUUUGAUAACGAAAUCUUAGAUUAUUUUAACCAAGUACGAACACUUGAUUUGAGUAAGUUAACGCUGAAUUGCUCAUCUGUUGAUACCAAAAUAAACACAAUCGGUACAACUGUUUUGCAAAUAUGCAAAAUUAAUAAUUUAUUCAUCUUAAAUGGUAGGUUUGGAAUGGAUAAGGGCAUAGGCAAAAGUACCUAUAAGCAAAAUUCCGUUAUAGAUUACUUCAUAAGCUCGCCCCUUAUUUUGAAAAACAUACUACAAUUUGAAAUACAUGAAUUAGACCCACUUUAUUCCGAUGGUCAUGUACUAUUAUCUUUGUAAACAAAAUGAAUAACGGAAAAAUAGAACAUUUGCAGUCACAACUAGAUCAGUUUGAAAACAGUGAAGUAUUAUAGAUAACAUAGCAAGCACAUUCGCCAAUAUUUUUAUCAGCGAAGCAGCCACAAAUACUUUUCCCGCCAAACGAAAAAGCUUUUAUAAUAAUAAUAAUAAUAAUAGCAAUUAUAAUACGGCUAAGCCUAACAAACCAUGGUUCGGGCUCCGUGUAGGAACAAACGAGUUGUUUACAAUCAAGCAAAAAGGCAAUAUAAUAUUGAUAAAUCGGACAAAAAUAGAAUGUUACUCAACUGUAAAAGUAAAUAUUAUAAACGUACGAUGAAUUUCUAUGUAAGCCAAUACAAAUUUAAUAAGGCCAACCCUUAAGGAAUAUGCAGAAAUCCCAGCCAAAAACAUACUGGUCUUACCUUAAAGACAUUUAAAAGAAAGUUAAUGGCAAAAAUCCUAGUAUUGAGGACUUUCAAGAUUUUUUCAAAAAUCUUAACACCACUAACGGUGCCGAAAACACAGAUAUCAUAUACAUUAAUAUUGAUAAUGACUAAGAGACACUAAUUUAACCUUUAACUUCCUUAGAAAUCAAAAAGAUGAUUAAUAAAUGCAAUAAUGGCGAAGCUUCUAGUCCAUCUGGUAAUAUAUGUAACGAAUAUAUAAAUUCAACUAAACAAAUACUUUUACCUAUAUAUGUACAAUUCUUUAAUUGCAUUCUUAAUACCGGAUUUUUUCCGAAAUCAUGGGCAGAAGGUUACAUUAUACCAAUUUACAAACAAAAUCCCCUGAAAAUUAUCGUCCGAUAACAAUUUUAAGUUGUUUAGGAAAAUUAUUUACAGCUGUGCUUAAGGAACGGUUUACUAAAUUCUCGGAUAAGUACAGAAUUAUUUCUGAAAAUCAAGCAGGUUUCCGGAAAAAUCAUUCCACCCCGGACCAUAUUUUUACCUUACACGUUUUAAUCGAAUUAUUAAGAUUACAGAUACAACAGCUCUUUGUAGGGUACGUCGAUUUCAAACGUUGUUUUGACUCCAUUCCUAGAAUUGAAUUAUUCCAAAAAAUAACUUCAAUGGGCAUAGACGGCAAAAUUCUUAGUGUGCGUAAUAUGUACUCGAACAUCAAAUCUUGUGUUCAAUUAAAUGGAAAUAGCUCCGCAACUUUUUCUUGUAACAUAGGCUUACGCCAAGGAGAAAAUCUUUCUCCAAUACUUUUCUCCUAUUACCUUAAUGAUUUGUACGAAAUUCUGGAUACUAGAAAUAAUGAUGGAAUAACGAUUGAGUAUUUAGUAGAAGAUUUAACGAACUAUUUAAAAAUUCUUGUCCUGUUGUACGUCGAUGAUACAAUUAUGCUGGCCAGAUCAAAAAACGAUUUUCAGAAAUGCCUUAGUGAUUUUAACGAAUAUUGUCAGCAUUGGAAGCUCGAGGUCAAUAUAAACAAAACAAAGGUCAUGCUAUUUGGGGCGAACAGAAGAUCGUGGAGACAUUAUAGAUUUAUACUGAACAACGAAGAACUAGAAAUCGGUGAUAAUUAUAAGUAUUUAGGAAUGGUAUUUAGCCCAACCGGGAAGUUUAAUAAAGCCAAAGAACAUUUAGCCCAACAAGCAAAAUUUCCUAUACAGAAGAAGUAAUAAACUUGACUUACCAAUUGAUCUCCAACUUAAACUAUUUGAUCAUAAUAUUGUUCCUAUAUUAACUUACUCUUGUGAAAUCCUAGGAUUUGAGAAUACCGAAAUUUAUGAAAAAAUACAUCUAGAUUUUUUAAGGAAAAUAACAAAUUCAAGGAAAAGUGCACCUGCAAAUAUGUUAUAUGGCGAGCUUGGCAGAGAACCGCUUAAAAUUACAAUUUAAAAAAGAAUGAUUGCUUAUUGGAGCAAACUAGUACUAUUUGAGGACGUAUAUGCAUCAAUUGUUUACCGCUCUAUGCGACAAAGUAACCUAAAUUUUAAAUGGCUUAAUUAUAUAAAGUAUUGUUUUUACUCCACUGGUAAUUCAAAUUUGUUUGAAAAUCAAAUAAACGUAAAUGUUAAGUUCACAAGUUAUAGUAUAACGAAAAUAUUAAAAGACCAGUACUUACAAUUUUGGCACGAAAAAAUGAGAUCGUCUAAUAAAGGAAUAUCUUAUAAUAGCUUUAAGCAAACGAUUACACUAGAGAAAUAAUUAUCUAUCAUUCCACUUAAUCAUGCUUUAAAUUUAUACAAACUUAGAUCAUGUAACUUUAAAUUUCCAGUUGAAACUUUAGCAUGGCAAGGAAUAGAAUACGCGCACAGGCGGUGUCCGCUCUGUCAGUCAGACAUUGGCGACAGCUACCAUUAACGUACAAAAUUUCCAGGAUCAAAGAAAAAUCUUCAUUUCACAAUAUUAUUGGCAGCAUCCAAAUAUGAUAUAGUAUCGCGAGCUCCUAAAUACAAGUAAUAAAAAAACUAUCGUUAAUCUGUCAAAGUUCGCCAGAUAUUUGAUGAAUCACGUGAAAUUUUAACAAUUAUUAAUUACUCUACUUCUUCUUACCUCCAGGCUUAUAUUCCAAAUCACGCAGCGAUCAUUAUCUCAACAAAGUCCAUUAUUCAUAACUAGUUAAAUCUAAAUAAUCUCAUAUUAAAUUUGUAGCAAGGCCAAGACCACUUACAACAUUCAUAAAUUUCUGCACUUGCUUUUUUGUACCGUUAGCAAAUGAAACGAGGCGAAUUUCCAUACAUAAAAUAUUCCGAGGCAGGUUUAAGGGACUUGUUUUUACUACAGAUAAGUUCGCAGAUCAACGAGUAGUAUACAUGCAAACUUCUUAAGCUGUAAAACUUACAUUGAUUUCCUUUAUCAUGAUUGUUAGCGAUUUGUCACUGUACCCGGUGGUAAAAUUGCCUCAAUUGUUAUUUUCCGUCAUGUUGUUUACUUAAUUGCCUGUAUAUUUAUUACAUGUCUAUUGUAACGAUAUGUUACCGUGACAAAAUAAAAAAGUGAAGUGAA